UACGUAGGGUGCAAGCGUUAAUCGGAAUUACUGGGCGUAAAGCGCGCGUAGGCGGAUCUGCAAGUCGGGGGUGAAAUCCCGAGGCUCAACCUCGGAACUGCCUUCGAUACUGCGGGUCUCGAGUCCGGGAGAGGUGAGUGGAAUUCCUAGUGUAGAGGUGAAAUUCGUAGAUAUUAGGAAGAACACCAGUGGCGAAGGCGGCUCACUGGCCCGGUACUGACGCUGAGGCGCGAAAGCGUGGGGAGCAAACAGG
rnacentral:rRNA from 1 species